AUAAAUAAUUUUUUAUGAGUGUAAUAUAUUUCAUUAUAUUUAUAGUAACAUCUAUCAUUUUAAUAUAUUUUUUGAACCAAUUAUUGGAUACUUAUGAAAGUAUAUAAUGUUAUUAAUUAAACUCAUAAAAUUGAAAAAAAAACAUCUAAAUUUUGUAAAAAAAAUAAUUUUAAUUAAUUAAGCAUCAACUAAUUUUAUCAUAAUUAGAAAAAAAAUACGACCAAAAAGAAAAGAAGAUUAAAGCCCUACUUGCACUUAAAUUUUUGUCCAUCAAUUAAAGUCCUAUUGUGCUUUAUGUACCUUUUUACUCUUAUCAUUUUCCUAUAUUUACUACCCUUUGCCACUAAUGGACCCACCUUACAAUUU
rnacentral:lncRNA from 1 species